rnacentral:rRNA from 1 species
UACAGAGGUGGCAAGCGUUGUUCGGAAUUACUGGGCGUAAAGGGCGCGUAGGCGGUCUUGUAAGUCUUGUGUGAAAUCCCUCGGCUUAACUGAGGAACUGCACGGGAUACUGCGAGACUUGAGAUCGGGAGAGGGAUGCGGAAUUCCGGGUGUAGCGGUGAAAUGCGUAGAUAUCCGGAGGAACACCGGUGGCGAAGGCGGCUUCCUGGACCGACACUGACGCUGAGGCGCGAAAGCUAGGGGAGCAAACGGG